UACGGCGAUGUCAUGUUGAAAAACCGGUUCUCAUACGAUCACCGAAGUUAAGCAACGUUGAUCCUGGUCAGUACAUAGGUGGAUGACGGUUUUGGGAAUACUCGUUGGUGUAA